AUUGUAUGUGACAGGUGGAGCAUGUACAGAAGAUUCCCACAUAGCAGUUACAUAUGGAUAUCCUGAAGAUCACUAGAGUGCCAUGGGAUGGUGUCCAAACCUUCAACACACAGACCUAUGGAGAACACCGAUUCGUGCCAUAGCGGCGCUCCUGAGAUCAGUGUUUAUCCUCUCACAAGCAGCAUCCAGGUAAAUUUGGAGUCUUUAUCUCUAACAAAAAAUGGAUCAACCAGGGCCAUCCCAUUAGGGGAAUUCCUUAGAUCAUUCAUGGAAAUGAUACUUAUUACUUCC